rnacentral:lncRNA from 1 species
GUUAUUUCUCUACUGCUUUCACAAUGUUUGUUGCAAGUAUAAAACACCAUUCACGAGGCUAGAUGUUAACAUAGCACAGUAUUUCUGGCAAUGAAACGCUCGAACUGACCAAGUGACCAUUUCACACGAACUUUCAUCGAUGGAUAAUUUUGCGAGUUUUCAUCCAAUUCAAUCAUAUAUAUGCUCAAAAUCUUCGCGGUAAGUUUCUCUUUACCAUAAAACUUGACCGAAUAAGUUUCGAAACAAUGCGACGGCAAGAACUGCAAAAAAUCCUGAUUUUCGUAAUAGAAUCUAUAGUCUUUUUGCCCUGUUGUACCGCCAUCUUGGAUUUAUCAUGUAGGCCCCGCCUGCGCCAGGUAUGCGUUAGCAAUCUAGGUCUCUUAUAUCUAUGUCUAAAACUGCGAUCAUGGCUUCUUAAAUACCCAAGGGAUGACGUCACCUGCCAAGAAGAUGCAUAUA